rnacentral:snRNA from 1 species
CGGCAAGUCAUCCUUGGCUG